rnacentral:rRNA from 1 species
GUAGCAAUACGUCAGCGGCAGACGGGUGAGUAACGCGUGGGAACGUACCUUUUGGUUCGGAACAACACAGGGAAACUUGUGCUAAUACCGGAUAAGCCCUUACGGGGAAAGAUUUAUCGCCGAAAGAUCGGCCCGCGUCUGAUUAGCUAGUUGGUGAGGUAACGGCUCACCAAGGCGACGAUCAGUAGCUGGUCUGAGAGGAUGAUCAGCCACAUUGGGACUGAGACACGGCCCAAACUCCUACGGGAGGCAGCAGUGGGGAAUAUUGGACAAUGGGCGCAAGCCUGAUCCAGCCAUGCCGCGUGAGUGAUGAAGGCCCUAGGGUUGUAAAGCUCUUUUGUGCGGGAAGAUAAUGACGGUACCGCAAGAAUAAGCCCCGGCUAACUUCGUGCCAGCAGCCGCGGUAAUACGAAGGGGGCUAGCGUUGCUCGGAAUCACUGGGCGUAAAGGGUGCGUAGGCGGGUCUUUAAGUCAGGGGUGAAAUCCUGGAGCUCAACUCCAGAACUGCCUUUGAUACUGAAGAUCUUGAGUUCGGGAGAGGUGAGUGGAACUGCGAGUGUAGAGGUGAAAUUCGUAGAUAUUCGCAAGAACACCAGUGGCGAAGGCGGCUCACUGGCCCGAUACUGACGCUGAUGC